GAGCUAAUUCCUGGAGUUACCAGCAGGAGGUGCCGCAGGGGUCCUCAGUCAUGUACUAUAAGAUGGAUACAGUCUUCUGUGUGAUCUCUCCUUGCCUAGUCUUUGGAAAUCAUCCGAGAGGAUUCUCAUCGUCAUUAUUCUUGGAUCUUAUUUGUCCUCUGCUCUGCCAUUCAAAGCUCACCUUUUCUAUGCAGUGCUUUUGACACAAGUCUUGCUGAUGGAAAAAGGUUAUCAACCCAUUUUCUCAGCUCCAUUUUUAAUACCUAUAUAAAUGAUUAAUUAAGGAAACAUCUUAUGUUAUCUCAACUAUUUUUGUCUUCAGAGAUCCUUUUCACACCAAUAUCAGCUAUAUUUUCUCUUCUAUCACCUAAGUUGCUACAGGUGUUGGCAGGAUUAUAUAAAAUUUGUUUGGAAUUUUUGUGACAGAUUCUCCACUACUCCCUGAUUUUCUAUUUAAGUGCUUUCUAAGUGUUUUCUACUGAGAACAUCAAAUUUAUAGAAUAGAAUUUGGUUUUAUUUCAACUACCACUUAUACUAGAGGGAUUUCUAAGUUUGUACGAAGUACUGGAUUAGUUUUUUCUAGUGCAAUUAUGAUGUAAAGCAGUGAUGCUCAGAAAUAGCUCACAUUCAGCUCUGGAUAUUAGAAUCUGAUUCACAAAAAGACAGUUUGCCAGGACACUGGGAUUCUCCCCUACUAUAUCAGAAAAGACUGAAGAGCCAUGGGAUUUUUAGCUUUCACCUACACAACCACCAAUCUGGCAGAAGGGACUGUCAUUUAAAAUCAGACCUAAGAGGGGGCACAUAUGUUUCCACAGGAACUCAGUUCUUUACUGUCAGCAUUGAAUAUGAGUCCAAGGCAUGAUAGUUGUGUAAUGGUUAGCAUAGCUCUCUUUUACAUAGUUAACUGGGGUUCAAGUCCUAGCCAGAAACAAAGCUCAGAUAUGAAGAAGGGGAUUAGAUACCAUGGUGAUGGUUGUAAUGCAGGAAUCUAAACACAAUAAGCCCAUUGGUGCACGGCAUUGUAGCCCAGAGAAGAAAGCGCCUCCUAGAGAAUUAUACUGAUACCACUGUGGGCCGUAAUGUAGAUCACUCACAACAUCAAAAAAUUAAUCAGAUGAUGAUGAUAAAAUGUAAACAGCUGCUGGUGACAGGUGUGAAUGAGCUGCUGUUCAAUUAUUAUCUCCUGAGUUCUCUUCCAUCCCUUUAAGAUUUUAUACUCUUAAACUUCAUGUGAAUUUUUUUUUUCUGUGAUGGCCAUGAAAAGACAGCUAAAGUCUGCUGCUAACAGAAAGCCAAAAAACAAGGCUCCUUCUCUUGUAAGGAUUUCCUUUUUAAAAUUCAGCUCUAAAGGACUGCAGCCUAAUAUGGGGAAUUCCACUAGAGUUCCUUCCACAAAAGUGAACCCCUAAUUUUGGGAUGCCAGGCUCCUAGAUGUUAAGCAGGCCUACAAACAAGGCACACAUCUGAUCCAUAAUAUACAUGAUGUUCCUCAGAAGACUCUUAAGGCUCUAGAUGAAAGAAUUAAGUCCUUCUCCUUAAGGCGGCACCAUAUGGAGAAGAAAAUAUUGGGCACUGGUACACAUCAGUCCCUCCUGUUUUCUGCCUGUGGCACACAAUAGUUUAGUCUCCUGAGAGCUGUAAUAUUCCGGUCUAAUUGUGGGCUUGGUGUGGGGAUGACUGGGUGGUAUUCAGUGGCCUGUGAUAGACAGGAGCUCCACUGGAUGAUCUGGCAGACCCUUCUGACCUUAAAGUGUAUGAAUAUAUCUGUCCUUGAAACCUCUUGUAAUGGACUCUGCCUUUUACAAGGAUAACCAAUUCCUUCAAAAUAAAGUGGAUGUAUAUAGCAACUAGAUGAGAUUUCUUGCAAAGGCAUUUUGGGUCAGCAGAAAAAGUUGAAUCAGGAAACUUGGAAACUUUUUAGGGGUGAUGGGAAAGGAUAUGCUGCCAAAAAGGAAGGUUGGAGUUCAUUAUACUAACAUCUGGUAUGAAAUUCCUAGAGGUAAACAUCCUGUAGUAAUGCUGUUCUGGGAACAAUUUCAGUAGUUUGUGAAUUCUUGAGCACCAGUAUUCUUAUUCUGAAACUGCUAGAAGUGUUAGUCUGCAGUUUCCGUCCAUAAAACAGGAUUAUCAACUAAAUCCUGGUCUCCUUGAAGUCCAUGAUGAAGGUCUGAAAUACUGUCAAGAGCACCAGGAUCUGGCCUUGUAUCCUGACUUCUGCUUUGAAUAGGUGAUGGUGAUUCUUAGUUAUUAAAGAAGUAAGAACACAACAUGGGACCUAACUUAAUUUAGCUAGGCUAUAUUCUGCUAAAUCAAAGUGUGUCAUGGAGGUCACUUGUGGUUUUGAAGGAGCUGGCACAUUCACAGGGCCGGAGGGUGGCGGGGAAGAAACUGAAUUUACUAACCUAGCCGGUGGACUCGCAGAACUUGGAGGAAGAUUGUAUGGCUGACUCAAUAUGUGCUACUUAGGAAUACCACGCUCAUUAUUUAUUAUGAUGAUGAUUGUUUAGCACCUGGUGUCCUUCAUACAGUUAUAGUCAUCUCCUAUAUGCUAUGCAUAUUUACAUAGCAGUCAAUAUGCUGUUUAAAAAUGAUGCCAUCUCAUAUUACAAUGUGCUGCUGCAAAGUUAUAAAUAUGUUGUGUGGGUGAGACUCUAACUAAUUCUGUGAGGCAUUACCAUCCACAUUGUGAGGCAUUACAAUCUUGAAAUACCCAUGCAAUGUAAUAUGAAUGUUAUAAAAGGAGUAGUUAGGCAGGAGAUUGCUCUCUACAAAAUGCACUGUGUGAUAGGAUUGAUAAACCCUAUAUGAACAAAGCAGGAAACUGUUGUUAAUCUCUACUGGAGAAAGGGGCUGAAGAUGGUUGAGCCCUACCAUACUUAACAACAAUGACAAGCUUGGAAAGAGUGCCUACCAACUGGAGAGAAUGAAAACCAAAGAAUCAGGCUUCGCAAUGCAUCUGCACUGAAUGAGUAAUGUUAGGUCUGUCAGAGAAGGCCUAAGGGGCAGGUUUAGUGAAGCAUCCAUUCUUGGGGAGAAAGCUUGGAUUGGACUCUGUUGUCUUAAUUCACUUGCUUGUUAAUAAGGCCAAACCAUAAUAUGGGAGUGAGUAUCCCAUGCAUGUGUUUUGCCUGGUGGAUUGAGUAUACCAUGGAAAAUCCCUUCUGCUGUAUCCAAUAAAUUUCUGAAAGUGUGUUGUAACAACUGGUGUUGUCUCUGAUCGUCUCCUAUUCUUUGCUGGAACUUACUAUUUUGGAGUAUUUUUAUUUGCUUUUUAAUUUUCUUUAAUUAUCACCAUAUGUAACUUUA